AUUGAACGCUGGCGGCAGGCCUAACACAUGCAAGUCGAGCGAGCGGCGGACGGGUGAGUAAUAUCUCGGAACGUGCCCAGUAGCGGGGGAUAACUCCUCGAAAGAGUGGCUAAUACCGCAUACUCUUGGAGCGGCCGAAAUCGGAUUAGCUAGUUGGUGGGGUACAGGCUCACCAAGGCAACGAUCCGUAGCUGGUUUGAGAGGACGACCAGCCAGACGGGGACUGAGACACGGCCCAGACUCCUACGGGAGGCAGCAGUGGGGAAUGUUGUACAAGGGGGGAAACCCUGAUACAGCAAUCCCGCGUGUAUGAGAAGGCCUUCGGGUUGUAAAGUACUUUUGGCAGAGAAGCGGUAUCUGCAGAAUAAGCACCGGCUAACUCCGUGCGAGCAGCGGCGGUAAUAC
rnacentral:rRNA from 1 species